UACGGAGGGUGCAAGCGUUAAUCGGAAUUACUGGGCGUAAAGCGCGCGUAGGCGGCUUAGUAAGCGGAUGUGAAAGCCCCGGGCUUAACCUGGGAACUGCAUUCGAUACUGCUGGGCUAGAGUAUGGAAGAGGGAAGUGGAAUUCCGGGUGUAGCGGUGAAAUCGUAGAUAUCCGGAGGAACACCAGUGGCGAAAGGGCGACCUUCCUGGGCCA
rnacentral:rRNA from 1 species